ACCAUCAGAUGUCCACAUUAGCAGGGGCUGGAAGCCAGCAGCCCAGACUUCCAUCUGGGUCUCCCACGCUAAUGGCAAAGACUCUGUAAUUUGUGUUAUCAUCUGCUACCUCCUGGGGUGUGCAUUAGCAGGAAGCUGGAAUCAGAAGCAGAGCCAGGACUUGUACCCCGGCAUUCCUAUAUGGGAUGAGGGCAUAUGAAUCAAACUGGAAUCUUGAUUACUCUGUCAAAUGUCUGUCUAUGAACUUGCCUUUUAAUUCAUUUUUUCUCUGACAGAUUGUACAAGAUUAAUUCAAAGAGUGCAGUGGUUAAAAAUGAGUAUGACCUUACAGUUAAACCCUCAUUUCUGUAGUUGAAUAUUUUUAAAGAUGAAGGAAUAUUAAUUCAGUAGUCGAUCAAUCAAUGUGGUCUCAUUGGCUGAUUUUCCUAACCUGGCUGUUCACAAUACUGAGAACAAGCCAUUGUAUUUUAGAACUUUGGGUCCUGAGAAUUCUGAAUGCUUCCUUAUUUGGGAAGCAGUUGGGUGGCUUAUAUUCCACUCCCCGUCUUCCUCCUCAAUGCUCAGGAAGAUUCUGACUGCUCUCUUUUCCUUUGGGUUCUAUUGUCACUGUUUUCUAAAAAGGGCUAAUGAUAACUCAGGAGUGAAACUUGGCCUCUGACUUGAGUUUCACUCAUUCCUCCUGUAGCUGCUGAGCUGUAUUUAUCACAGUCACAAAGCCAGAUUGAAUGCAACAUCCUUGAUCUGUUGUCACCUCAAGUGAUCUCUACAUUUGUGUCAAAUAUUGUUAAUAGUUUUCCAGUUAAUGAAGGAACAUGGAAAACGGGCCCAGGGACAUAGGGCUGGGGAGCAAGUGGCAAAGCCAGGAUUUAACCCUCAAGGUUCCUGCUCCAGGAGUGUCCUCCCCUUGAGGUCUACUUCCAUUUGCUUCUUCUCCCAGCGCCUGACCUGGUAGGGGUCCUAGCAGUUACAGGAGGCCCUGGUCCCUUUGCUGUAUAGCCACUUUCUGAAUGGCGGCUCCAGGUUCUGUCCGACUCUGCAGUCACUCUCAGAAGCCACUCUCACUACCUGACAGUCUGGGGAAAGACAGCAUCCUGGCUGGGGCAGGGAUUCUGCUGAGGGGCUACACACAUGCACCAUAGGAGGAGGUGUUCUGUGAGAAAAUGGCCUAGACUUGAGGAGGGCACGUUCCGGGGGCUAAAAGAGAACUUCCCAAUCCUCAGGGAAGCUCUGCUCACUGCCAUGCCAGAGACUGGAAAUUGCUCACCCUCCUAGAGUACCACACACUGGCUUCCCCAUCCUAUGUGUACAGAGCAGAAAAGCCCUGAAAAUCCUACAGAAGAUCCCAGAGGUCUCUAGAGAUGGAAAAGGGACAAGCUUUAGGUGACAAGAGAGAGGUAAAAGUAAGCAAGAUCAUUUGUUUCAUACUGUCUACACUUCCAAAGCAGAAAUGAAUUUGUUCUCUGUGUUUGCUUUAUUGGAGGUAUGUAUGCUUGACUGGUUAGAGCAUGAAAAAGAUUAUGGGAUUCUGGGUUUGUUGAUCUUUAAAUGGAUUGUAUUCAUGAAUUAAUCAGGGCGGGGGUAGGUCUCAGGGAAGACCCAGGAUCUGCCAGGCUGAGACUGAAGCCAAGUGAGGGAUUUGGUUUCUUCUCAGUCUGGAAAAGUCUAGAGAGAUGCAGUCCGCCUGCUGCAUCAGGAAGGGAGGCGGGAACAUCAAUAAAUAAUAAACAAGAUAUAAACGGUAUUCUCUGUUUCUCUGUGUAUCUGGAAGGAGUGGUGGCCAGCAACAGGGUUCCAGCACCCCCACCUGUGAUGGAACUUGCGGCUUGGGGUGGACUCCUUGGCCCACUGGGCAUCUGCUUCAUCAGCUGUGGAUCCAGAGAGUAGCCUGGAGGCCCUGGUCCCCCACAAUGUUAAAAUCUUUCGAGGGAGUCUGUUCCCCCCAGUCAAAAGUGAUUUUCCUGUGGUUGACCCUGCGGAUGAGUCAGCUCUCCAAGCACAGCGGCAUAGCUGCUGUAAGAUUUGCUGGAGGCAGGGAAGUCGCAGGGUUUUUAAAGCAAAAGGACGGGUCCCUCCAGACCCCUCGCCCUGCAACUCCUGCCCUUCCUCCACCCGACCCGCAGUCUCCACUCCCACAACAGUGCCCAGCUCUGCAGCCCCGGGCAGCACAGCCGGGGUGUACGCACAGCGGCCUCCAAAGCUGGGGAGCACAACUCUCGGCUCCCAGGAUUUGAACAGUCACCGAUUCUUAAACGCAGGACAGUUGCAAAGAGCGGGGUCGAGGCCUGGGCUAUUUAAACAGAGGCCUCUUUAUCUGCUUCAGCCCCUACCGCAGGGCAGCCUUGCGAGUUAUCGGAGUGUCAUUAACCGGGACAGCUGCGGGUAAACUAGGAGGAGGUGGACACCAGCGCCUCCGUCAACAGGAAUUUAGCUUUAAUCUGUCCUUUAGUUAAAGAAACACCACUCUCCGUCUCUCUCCGCUGUGCGUCAUUUAUUUAUCUCCGUCAACCUCCAGAUAGAAGGCUGGCAUUGACUCAGGAAAACCCAUGGGAUAGAAAAUUAAUAAGGUGCGAGGGACAUUCACCUUAGGUCAAUUCGAGGGGACGCGGGGAGAAAGGGAACUUGCUCCGGAGUUCCUGCUUAGCUGGGAACCGAUGCUACAUAUUUAUAGAGGUGAAGUUGGAGGGCUGCCAAACGCCUGCAUUUAAGUGAUUAACAAAUGUUUCUCUUUAAGUGGACACCUCUUGUUCUAAAUAUAUUUGACAAGAAUGCAAAGAGUGCUCUGGGGGGCAGAAAGGGCAGCGCCCGGGCCUUCCCCCUGCGCGGCGGGCAGCCCGGCUCGGGCGCGCCGCUCGCCGCUCGGUGCCAGCCUGGUUCACGUCGCGGGUGGGCAGGCUGCCAGCGCCAGCGGCUCCCCGCUGUUUAACGACACUGGAUUUACUGCUUCUCUGCAUAUUGCUGUUAUUUUGUAUAAACAAGGUUAACACUGCUUUUAAAUUAAAUGCACCACCUGGUGACUGAAUGGGUGACCUUCCCAGCUCUCUUCACCUGGCUGGGCAGAGCCCGGGCAGGCUCCCAUUCCAACCUGCUGCUCUCUUGGCAAUCCCCGUGGCUCCCCAAAUCCGGCGGGGGAAGCGCGCGGCGGAGGCACCUGCUGCGCCCCGCGGCCAGCAGCCGCGUUCAGGGCGCGGGCGCUGGGUAAUUGGUCCAGGGCCGGGGCGCCUGCCGCGGGCACGAAGCCCAGAGACGGCCCUGCGCGGGCUGUGGGUGUCACAGGGCGCCUCCCCACCCACCCCGGGGGGGCCUAGAUCCCCGGAGGGGCCUGCCUUUGUGUCGUGUCGCGCUCCGGCGUGGAAGCGCUCUCCCGCGAGGCUGCGCUCUCCCCGCCCUCUCGGAAUUUGAACACCUGGAAGCAUUCCGCGGGCUCUGGGUUUGAGGAGAUUUAAUGGUGUAAACAAACUCAGCAGGAAGCCCCCUUUGAUAUGAAAAGGCCGAGACCGGCGGGCGGGCGGGGCUGAGCCAGGGUUUGCCGAGGGCUUGGCCUGGGAACGUCCCUUCCACGGGGAGCAUUGAGGCGGACAGCUGAGUCUUGGAGGCAUCCGGGAAGUUUCUCUGGAAACUUCAGGCAAAAGGCACUUGCGGUUACUCAUUUCGUUAAAGGCAUCCUCGCCCCCCUCGUUCCUGCCCUCCGCCAGGACGCGCACGGGCAGAAUUACUCCGAGAGCCCCGGCGGGGCGGUUUGCCCGCUGCGCUCCGGACCGGCUGCUGUGCGCAGAAGGAAUCAGACUUGGGGGGCACCCCGGGGUCACCGGAUGCGGGGUCCACCCUCGUGGGUGCUGUGGGUGCUGCUGUCCUGGGCGGUCCCCAGAACGCUGCGAGCUGCAGGGGUGGAAAAUCUGUGCCCACGCCUAGCAGGACAGCAAUCCCUGGGCGCACAGCUUCUGCGGCAAGAGGCCCUUGCUAGCGACUUGUAAUAAUAGAGCAUCACGCGGGUCCUUCGCUAGUGGAAAACUGGAAUUAACGACAGGUCUGUUUUGUGACAACACUUUUUUGCAAAUUGUGCAUAAUUUUUUUUUAAAAUCAGGAUACACGUUUUCAAUGACCCUUCCAAGGAUCCUUGGUAUAUAGGCAGAGUCAUAGAAUUGUGAUUGCUGAAAUCCUAACAUUUGUAUGCGAAUUUUAUGAAAAGUUUGAGUAUGAAUUUUUUAAAUACCUUUUAAUAUCAGUCUAUCCAGAAUCUUCCCGAAGCAUACGUUAUGUUGGGGGAACGUGCCACACAGCCAAUACAAUCUGUAGUCCAUGCACCUUAAGUGUUCUGGCCCGUUUCUAAAGACUUCCAGGUGCUAGGUUUUGGGGACAGUCAGGAUCUAGAUGGGAUCAAUGGGAGAAAUGUGUGCCUAAAACCACAAGUCCACUGACUGGACUCUGAUGCUGGCCUACUAAGUGAGCCUCCGUUGGAGCUCCACCUCUGAUCCAGAUCCCUUGUUAAUGCACUUGGGAAAGGAGCAGAAGAUGGCACAAGUGUUGGGGGCCCUAAUACCUGCGUGGGAGGCCCAGCUGGAAUUCCUGGUUUCUGGCUUCAGUCUGGUGCAGCCCCUGCUAUUGUGGUCAUUUGGGGAGUGAACCAGUGAAAAGAAGACCUCUCUCUCUCUCUGUAACUGUGUCUUUCAAAUAAAUUAAUAAAGCAAAACAACCCACUGUGUGCAAAAAGACACACAUGAGGAGGCACAAAACUCCAGACCCUAAAGGAGACUUUCCAGAUCAGGUACCACGGUGUGCCAGGACCUCCCUCUGCACUAUUGUGGGACAAAUCAGGAGAGGCAGACAGUUCACUUUGCUUAUAUGGUGGCUGCUGUGUGCCAGACAGGAUCCUCGAUGCUCCACAUAAUCCUUACAAGAACCGUCUGCGGCAAGAACUGUUAUCUCCAUUUUACUUGUAGGGAAACCAAGAGGGAGAGAAAUCGGCUAACUUGGCCAUGGUCUCACAAGCAAAGCGUUCAAAGGGCUGGCUGGAGCCCACCCCUACCCCCACCCCCAACGCUGCCUCUGAGGUUCCAUGGUCUUGGUGUUGCCAGAGCUGAUUUUCUUAAACAGCCUGUCUUCUGGGCACUACUGCUCCAGAGAAACGUGAACUUUUAGAACUUACUUAUGGCUAGACAUUGUUGUGGACUUGAUAUGCAAGCCUGUCAUUAUCUUCUCCCUCAAAUUCAGAGAGAAAGAGAGAGGGUACAGAGAGAAUUUUUAUUUAUAGAUAACAAGGCAGAGCCCAUCACCAUCAGCCUCACCAGUAGCCACCAGCUUCUCAAUUGUGAUGAAUAUACGUCUGGAAAGUAAAUCCUCAGUGGAUCAGCUUUUCUAGAGCAGUAAAAAUUAAAAUAUUCUCUUCUGCUGGUGAGGCUGAAUUCCCAGGGUUUUGCUUGGAAGCAGAGGGUUUGGAAGCUGUGGUGGACAAUGCAGCAAGCCCAACACACCCUUGGAGAAACAAGCAUCCUUGCAGAACUAGGGACUAUGCAGAGGCUGCAAUGGGGAAUAGUCAUUGAGAACUAGGGUUGCCAAGAAUACGGAGGUAACUGCCAGCUAGUUCUAAAGGAGACCUUUCUAGAACAGACAGGUUUCUGUUUCCUCCUGAAAGCUUCUCUUAGACUAGAAAGCAAAUUACUUCACGACAAUUUUUUUUCUGGGACUUUUCUCCAUGGUGCCUCUGCAGUCUCUACUCUAUACUGCAGCUGCAAGAGGGAGCCUUCUUGUUCCCUCUGCAAACAUUCCUUGGGUCAGAACAGCAAAGCACUUCUGGGAGAUGGUGGCUGAGUGGAAGUAAGAGGUGUUUUCUGGUCAGACUUAGGUUUUGUUCCUUUGUAAGUAAUAGCUACUGAAUGGCCUUAUUAUAUAAUGAUAUAUAUUAUACCUGAUAGCAUACCAACAUGUUAUAUUUAUCGUAAAUGCAUACUAUACUAAUAGAACAUUAAUAUACAAUAUUGAUAACAUUGACAACACACAACAUUAAUAUAAUUUAAUGUAAUCAUAUGUUACAUUAUAAUAAAUUAUGUAAUAUAUUAUUACAUUAUAAUA